rnacentral:rRNA from 1 species
CAUGCCGUAAACGGUGGGCGCUAGGUGUAGGGGUCUUCCACGACUUCUGUGCCGUAGCUAACGCAUUAAGCGCCCCGCCUGGGGAGUACGGCCGCAAGGCUAAAACUCAAAGGAAUUGACGGGGGCCCGCACAAGCGGCGGAGCAUGUGGAUUAAUUCGAUGCAACGCGAAGAACCUUACCUGGGCUUGACAUACACCGGACCGGGCCAGAGAUGGCCUUUCCCUUGGGGCUGGUGUACAGGUGG